rnacentral:rRNA from 1 species
CAGCCGCCGCGGUAACACGUAGGUGGCAAGCGUUGUCCGGGAUUAUUGGGCGUAAAGGGCUCGCAGGCGGUUUCUUAAGUCUGAUGUGAAAGGCCCCGGCUCAACCGGGGAGGGUCAUUGGAAACUGGGAAACUUGAGUGCAGAAGAGGAGAGUGGAAUUCCACGUGUAGCGGUGAAAUGCGUAGAGAUGUGGAGGAACACCAGUGGCGAAGGCGACUCUCUGGUCUGUAACUGACGCUGAGGAGCGAAAGCGUGGGGAGCGAACAGGAUUAGAUACCCCAGUAGUCCCUGUCUCUUAUAC